AUUGAACGCUGGCGGCAGGCCUAACACAUGCAAGUCGAGCCGAGCGGCGGACGGGUGAGUAAUGCCUAGGAAUCUGCCUGGUAGUGGGGGAUGACGUCCGGAAACGGGCGCUAAUACCGCAUACUAUCAGAUGAGCCUAGGGCGGAUUAGAUAGAUGGUGGGGUAAAGGCAUACCAGGGCGACGAUCCGUAACUGGUCUGAGAGGAUGAUCAUGCAGACUGAAACUGAGAUACGGUCCAGACGACUACGGUAGGCAGCAGUGGGGAAUAUUGGACAAUUGGCGAAAACCUGAUCAAGCCAUGCCGCGUGUGUGAAGAAGGUCUUCGGAUUGUAAAGCACUUUAAGUUGGGAGGCAUUACCAACAGCAUAAGCUCCGGAUAACUUCGUGCCAGCAGCCGCGGUAAUUC
rnacentral:rRNA from 1 species